GUCACUAAUAUAAAAACCAAAAUUCUAAUUGUAUAUUUCCAACAGCUUUCCGUUGUGUGCUAAAUAACAACGGAUUUUAUACAAUCGCGACAGCUUACUGUAGUCGUAAUUCGGAUAUAUAAAUUACUACAACAAAGCUUGCACAAGUAGUGUGUUUAAUUCCUUCGGCUUAUUAGUACGUACUAUUGCAAUGAUGGUUGAAGAAGACGCUCAACAACAGAUGCAAAACAAUACAUAUCUUGAUGAACUUCAAGCCGAAGUUACAUCACUUUCUCCCUCUUCUCAUGCUGCUCGAUUAAUAACAGAAGAAAUCUGUUCUUUAGAAAUAGAAAGAGUUCAAUCAGGGAAUGCACCAGCUGGUUCACAAAAAGAUGAAAAAAAUAUACCAUGUUUUGAAAUACACACUGGAAAACCAUACAAACACUCGUGUAAAAUCAAGAUUCCUGUUAAAGAAUUUCCCAAGUUCAAUUUUGUGGGAAAGUUAUUAGGACCAAAAGGUAAUUCGUUAAAAAGACUACAGGAAGAAACAAUGACAAAAAUGUCUAUACUUGGUAAAGGUUCAAUGAGAGACAAAGAUAAGGAAGAUGAGCUAAGAAAGAAAGGUGGAAAAUAUACCCACUUAAAUGAAGAUCUUCAUGUUCUGGUAGAAGUUUAUGCAGAAGCAUCAGAUGCAUAUCAAAGAAUGGCACAUGCUUUCACUGAAUUACAGAAGUAUUUAAUUCCGAAUGAUUACAAUGAUGAAAUCCGUCAACAGCAACUUCAAGAAUUGAUGUAUUUAAAUGGUAGCGAUGGUGGUCGUGGUCGAGGUCGUGGCAGAGGUGCUCCCGGACAGACGCCCCGAGGGGCACCACGGGGUGGUCUUCUAACGUCUCCUGCUGGAAGAGGUGGUCCCGCUGGCAGGGGUGGUGCUAUUCCACCUCCUACGAGGGGUGCUCCCGCAGGACGUGGUACACCCCCAUCAAGAGGUGGUCCACCAAGAGGGGGUAUGGCGGCUGGCAGAGGUCGGGCAGCACCUGCUCCACAAGUGCCACCACCCAUGGAACAAAGCUAUGAUGACUAUGGAUACGAUCAAAGUUAUAAUGAAGGUUAUGGAGAUCAAAGUGGUUAUGAAGGUGGUUAUGGUGAUCAGUCAUAUGGCCAAGUGGAUUCACAAUAUUACGAUUACGGCGCUGGGGGACAAUAUGAUGAGGGAUAUGGUGAUGGUGGCUGGGGCUCAAAUGUUGGACAGAUGAAGGCCCCACCACCUACUAGAGGUGCAAAGGGACAAUACAGAAGUCAUCCAUAUGGAGGUAGAGGCGGAGGUUACUAAAAACUAGCCCUGGUCAAAACCUAACCCUGCUGCACUGGUCGUAUUCGCUGUCUUCGUCCAGUCUCCAUCCACUUAAGCCGAGUGGCUUUGACCAACUGAUGCCAAUCUCAGUUGUGGCCCACAGAAGAAUGACAAGCAUGUGAGCAAGGAGAUAUCACUUGAGACCUGAUCUUAAAACGUCCAAGAUGGGAAGCCUGUGAUUUUUGUAUUUUACUGUAUUUUUAAAAGUAUUUUUAAAAAAAAUAAACUAUUUUUCUAUAAAAAAA
rnacentral:misc_RNA from 1 species